GGGGUCGUGAUGUCAAUGGUAGCAUGACGGUCUCCAAAACCGUUCGUGGAGGUUCGAAUCCUUCCGGCCCUGCCA
rnacentral:tRNA from 1 species